UCCCCCCCUUUCACUUUGCCAGUUAGACAUUUCUCUUGUCUUUAUUGGUCAUUCAAAUGGGGUAAAUUAAUUUCCUUUUAAAACUCAAGCAAACAAAUUUGUUUGUCUUGUAUCCUAUCAGGGGAGACAUUU
rfam:Ornithorhynchus anatinus Cont59.251, whole genome shotgun sequence.